AGUGAACGCUGGCGGUAGGCCUAACACAUGCAAGUCGAACGGCAGCACAGUAAGAUCUUGCUCUUACGGGUGGCGAGUGGCGUACGGGUGAGGAAUACAUCGGAAUCUACUUUUUCGUGGGGGAUAACGUAGGUAAACUUACGCUAAUACCGCAUACGACCUACGGGUGAAAGCAGGGGAUCUUCGGACCUUGCGCGAUUGAAUGAGCCGAUGUCGGAUUAGCUAGUUGGCUGGGUAAAGGCCCACCAAGGCGACGAUCCGUAGCUGGUCUGAGAGGAUGAUCAGCCACACUGGAACUGAGACACGGUCCAGACUCCUACGGGAGGCAGCAGUGGGGAAUAUUGGACAAUGGGCGCAAGCCUGAUACAGCCAUACCGCGUGGGUGAAGAAGGCCUUCGGGUUGUAAAGCCCUUUUGUUGGGAAAGAAAAGCAGCAGGUUAAUACCCCGCUGUUCUGACGGUACCCAAAGAAUAAGCACCGGCUAACUUCGUG
rnacentral:rRNA from 1 species